UACGAAGGGGGCUAGCGUUGCUCGGAAUCACUGGGCGUAAAGCGCACGUAGGCGGCUUUCUAAGUCAGGGGUGAAAUCCUGGAGCUCAACUCCAGAACUGCCUUUGAUACUGGAGAGCUCGAGUCCGGAAGAGGUGAGUGGAACUCCGAGUGUAGAGGUGAAAUUCGUAGAUAUUCGGAAGAACACCAGUGGCGAAGGCGGCUCACUGGUCCGGUACUGACGUUGAGGUGCGAAAGCGUGGGGAGCAAACAGG
rnacentral:rRNA from 1 species